rnacentral:misc_RNA from 1 species
GGGAAAAUGAAGGUAUCCUUUUCGGCACAUGGUAAAAUAGAAUGAAGAACAAAUUUUCAAAUCAACAAACACAUCACACUAGAAAAAAACCACAGCCCAGCAUAACUAAUUGAAUCCAAUUAAGGAAACAACUUGCUAUGAUUUACACAAAUUGAACAGAAAUUCAAGCUUUACUACAAAAGAAAUAUGAAAAAAGCUUACUUAAAAACCAGAAAAGUUAAUACAUGAAGAUAAUUUCAAUAUAGUAAAAUUUAA